rnacentral:sRNA from 1 species
AAGUAUGGAUCAAACUUGCAACAUCCUGUUACAACGCCUUUGUGACCUGCGUCCUGCAAG